rnacentral:lncRNA from 1 species
AUUUUUUAGACCUUACAAUUUUUAUUAAGGAUUCUAAAAUAUAAACAAAAACUUUUUUUUUAAGCCGACUGAUGCUAAUGGUUAUAUCGACACUGAAAGUAGCCACCAUCCAACCUGGCUCUGAGGGGUUCCUCGGAGACAGUUUAUGAGAUUGAGGAGAAAUUGUACCGACCAAGAACUUUUCUUAGAACAAGCUUCCCUUUUAAAGAUUACAUUUUUAGAAAAAGUUUACACAGAAAAAUGUAUUAACAAAAAAUAACACAUUCUUUUCAUUGUAACAGAGUUGAUUUGUUGAUUAAUAAGGAGUCUAUUCCCCUGUUACAAAUACAUUUGUGUUUUCUUUUAAUACACAAUAUUAUGCCCAUGCAACAAAAAUCAAGAAGAUUCUCCAUAAACAUUGGCCACUUUUAUUAGAUGAUGAUCUCUUAAAAACUGAACUUCCGCCUGUACCACAAAUUAUUUUUAGGAAAGGUAGAAAUUGUAAAACUUUAUUAGCACUUUUAGAAACUAGGAACAUAGAGAAAAGAAAAGUGUUGUGUUUUUAUCCUGAGGGUCAUGCAAAAGUUGUAAUUAUAAGACAUUUAAAAAAGAAAAUGUUGAAAGUUUUAAUACAAAAAAACAAUUCUCGAUAAAAGAAUCCAUCACUUCACAUGUGGUAUAUCUUUUAACAUGUGAGUGCGGGGUACAGUAUGUCGGUAGGACAAUUAGACCUUUAAAAAGAAGGUUUUUUAGAACAUAAGAAUAAUAUCACAACGCAUAUAUUAACACAUUCAGUCCCAGUGUAUUGUAAUAACUGGAGGAGUUUUAAUCCAGACAGUUUUUCGUGCAUUGGGAUAGAGAAAGUUUCCCUUGAUGACAGAGGGGGUGAUCUGGUUCUCAAAUUAAGACAAAGAGAGGGGUACUGGAUUUAUACCAUUAAAACCAUGCAACCCGAGGGAAUGAAUGUUGAUUUUGAUAUGGUGUGAUUUUUUACAAGGUUUUUAUAAGCAUCUACGGGUGGUAAUUUGAUCAUGUCAAUUUCUAAUUUUAUUUUAUUGAUUUUAAAGGAAC